rnacentral:rRNA from 1 species
UGAGUACGAGAUGCUACGGCAUCGAAGCAGUCUAUGUCAUACUUCCAAGAAAAGCUUGCACUGUCAGAAACAGAUAAUGCCUGUACCUUAACCGACACAGGUGGGUAGGUAGAGUAUACUAAGGGGCGCGAGAUAACUCUCUCUAAGGAACUCGGCAAAAUGACUCCGUAACUUCGGGAGAAGGAGUGCCUUAUUUUUAAGGCUGCAAUAACAAGAUCCAAGCAACUGUUUACCAAAAACACAGGUCUCCGCUAAGUCGUAAGACGAUGUAUGGGGGCUGACGCCUGCCCAGUGCCAGAAGGUUAAAGAAGUCGGUUAGCAUUCGCGAAGCUGGUAACUGAAGCCCUGGUGAACGGCGGCCGUAACGAUAACGGUCCUAAGGUAGCGAAAUUCCUUGUCGGGUAAGUUCCGACCCGCACGAAAGGCGUAAUGAUUUGGAUACUGUCUCGGAGAGGGGCUCGGUGAAAUAGACUUGUCUGUGAAGAUGCGGACUACCUGCACCUGGACAGAAAGACCCUAUGAAGCUUUACUGUAACUUGAAAUUGAAAUUGGACUUUAUUUGCGCAGUAUAGGUGGGAGGCGUUGAAAAUAUUCUUGCGGGAAUAUUGGAGCCAUCAGUGAGAUACCACUCUUGUAAUGUUAGAUUUCUAACUUUAUAUCAUUAUCUGGUUAAAGAUCAGUUUCAGGCGGGCAGUUUGACUGGGCGGUCGCCUCCCAAAUGGUAACGGAGGCGCACAAAGGUUUCCUCUGAACGGGUAGAAAUCGUAUCUAGAGUGUAAAGGCAUAAGGAAGCUUGACUGUGAGACCUACAAGUCGAGCAGGGACGAAAGUCGGUCUUAGUGAUCUGACGGAGCUGAGUGGAAAGGCCGACACUCAACGGAUAAAAGUUACUCUAAGGAUAACAGGCUGAUCUCCCCCAAGAGUUCACAUCGACGGGGAGGUUUGGCACCUCGAUGUCGGCUCAUCGCAUCCUGGGGCGGUAGUACGUCCCAAGGGUUGGGCUGUUCGCCCAUGAAAGCGGUACGUGAGCUGGGUUCAGAACGUCGUGAGACAGUUCGGUCCAUAUCCGGUGUAGGCGUUAGAAUAUUGAGAGGAGCCUUCUUUAGUACGAGAGGACCGAGAAGGACAUACCUCUGGUGUACCAGUUAUCGUGCCAACGGUAAACGCUGGGUAGCUAUGUAUGGAGUGGAUAACCGCUGAAAGCAUCUAAGUGGGAAGCCCACCUCAAGAUAAG